AGAGUUUGAUCCUGGCUCAGAAUCAACGCUGGCGGCGUGCCUAACACAUGCAAGUCGCACGAGAAAGGGGACUUCGGUUCCUGAGUAAAGUGGCGCACGGGUGAGUAACACGUGAAUCAUCUACCUCCGAGUGGGGAAUAACCUAGGGAAACCUGGGCUAAUACCGCAUAACACUUACGAGUCAAAGCAGUAAUGCGCUUGGAGAGGAGUUCGCGGCAGAUUAGUUAGUUGGCGGGGUAAUGGCCCACCAAGACGAUGAUCUGUAUCCGGCCUGAGAGGGCGCACGGACACACUGGAACUGAAACACGGUCCAGACUCCUACGGGAGGCAGCAGUGGGGAAUUUUGCGCAAUGGGGGAAACCCUGACGCAGCAACGCCGCGUGGAGGAUGAAAUAUCUUGGUAUGUAAACUCCUUUCGAUGGGGAAGAUAAUGACGGUACCCAUAGAAGAAGCCCCGGCUAACUUCGUGCCAGCAGCCGCGGUAAUACGAGGGGGGCAAGCGUUGUUCGGAAUUAUUGGGCGUAAAGGGCGCGUAGGCGGUUUGACAAGUUUCAUGUGAAAUCUAUGGGCUCAACCCAUAGUCUGCAUGGAAAACUGUCGGGCUUGAGUAUGGGAGAGGUGAGUGGAAUUUCCGGUGUAGCGGUGAAAUGCGUAGAUAUCGGAAGGAACACCUGAGGCGAAAGCGGCUCACUGGACCAUAACUGACGCUGAGGCGCGAAAGCUAGGGGAGCAAACAGGAUUAGAUACCCUAGUAGUCC
rnacentral:rRNA from 1 species